CACACAUAAAUUCAACUUUAUACAUGUCACCUGUCAGUACUUAACUGUAGAAUACGCGUUAAGCCGAAUUUCAACCUACGAAUCAAUUGACAAUGCUAGACUUCAAAGUUUUAUGAAAAUGUCAUUAUAAACAUUGUUGCAGCACAGGCCACAAGGGUAGGAAGAAUUCUUCAUUUCUGCAGUCCUUCAGCCUCUUGAUGCAUAAAACUGUCUCAGAAAAGGAUGGCCAGAAGAAAUACUGGUAUCUUGGUCAGAAACUGUCCAAUACCCAUAGCAUGUUCGAGCUGUGAUUGCAUCAACACAUACUGUUUACUCUCUGGUUACUACAUUUCUUUACUAAACUAGAGACCCAACAUCAACACAAAAGACAAAAUAUCUCAAAAAACCAAAUAGGAAAAGGGAAUCAACAAAUAAAUUUUAAAACCUUACCUUU